GUAGCCAAGCCGUGAACACUGGCCCAGCUGCCUAACUGAUGGCAGGGCAGACCCCACAGUGUGGCCAGGGCCACCGCCAAGCCCCAGGCCCAGCCCUGCUGCUGAGAUCUCUGGAGGCCUCCUUGUCCCCACCUGAACGGUCGGAAUGAUGGUGGUACCGGCUCCUCCGGGCGAGGGAGGGUGUGCGCAGUGCAAGGCAGGCGGGAGGAGCUGCCUUGCCAGAGCCCUGGUGCGACCUGACCCUCUGUUGCGCGGGCCGGAGGAUCCCGUCCGGGUGGAGGCCCGAGGUGGAAGCACCCAGCCUAUGGAAGGAAGUAGGGGUCGAUGUCCACCCAUCUCUGGAAUCUGGACAGGCUUGUGUAGAUGCUGUGUGACUUCUGAGGCUACGAUAUGAAAAGCGAUACAGGUCCCUCCUAGUUCUCUUGGGACUCUUGCUCUUGGAAGCUGGCCACCAUCCCACAAAGAAGUCCCCAAAGCCCUCAGCCCACAGCCUGAACCAGCUUACCAGCCACAUGACUGCACUGUCUUGGAACAGCCUCUCCAGCCUCCAGUGGAGAUGCCCCAGCUGGUGCAGCAUGGACUAGACCAACUAUGUCUACCGAAUCCACCCCAAACAGCAGAUCUGCGAGCAGGAGGAAUGAUUGUUGUUUUGAGCUACGAAGUUUCGGGGGUGGUUUGUUGUGCAGCAAUACACACACAUGUCCAGCUUCAUUGGGUGAUGCCAUCUUAUUUACCAAGAUAAUGGUACCACUUGACAUCCUGG